CAUCGGAGCAUGGAACCCUAUUGUAUCUGUUCCGUUUUUUAUUAUUAUUAUUAUUAUUAUUAUUAUUAUUUUUCUGCGGAAAAACUCAUACUGGAGCCCAAACCGCAAGGACUAUGAAGAAGAUUUUAACAGGAUAGUUGAAUAGGGUUAAGGGUACGGAGGAGAAAAAUAAUCAGACAUGUCAACCUAUAGGGGGCGCCGUAAUCAAGGUCUUUGCAUUUGGUUUGCUGGAUUCUAAAACGUAAGUCACAAAAUUUUUUCGCUUAUAGCCGCAUAAUCCCUGGACACCACUGAGUCACAAGGAAUAGGCCACGCCCAUUUCCGCCUAAACUUUUUUUUUUCUACAAAGCAAAAUUUGCAAAAACUUCUUUUGGAUUUGUUUUUAAGAUUUAAAGUCCGAUCGCCACGAAACUCACCAUCCUAAAUGUAAUUAGUAUGUUGAUUCUAAGUCUUCAAGGACAAGUGUAAAAAUAAUAAAAUGCUUGAGUUAUGCUUAGGCAAAUAGCUUAGGCAAGCUAGCUAAACAGAAAUUUUGCUAUAUCUUCAAAAUAGUAGUAUAUAAUAAGAUGAAAAUCGUGUCUUCAGUACAGGAGUCUGUUCUGAGUUGGGGCACCAAAUUUUACUAUUAUUGAGGCAUAGGGGGCGCUAUAAACCACAAAACAUUUUCACGCAACAAUGGCUUAUCGGAUAUUCAUAAAAUUUUUCAAGGACCUACAGACCCUUGAUUUUAACCUAAAUUAGCAAGAUCAUUAUGCACAAAUAAAGUGGGCGUGGCCUAUACUUUCAUAAAUGAAAAUUUUCAUAUAAUCAUUUAUGGAGCCUAAACCGUUAGAGAUUUUGACUUUUUUUUCACAGCAAAAAUAAAGCACACAAACCUCUAUCUAAUACUAAAAAUUUGCAUGAGUCCACCAAUAGGUGGUGCUAAGACGAUGUGUGAAACAUUUUGAUCUGUAACUCCUGUAUACUUAGCCCAAUUAUUAAAAUUAUUGUGGCCCCUUAAUUGUUCAUCUGUACAGUAUUUUUGAUAAAAUAUAUGUUUGUUUAAAAAAUGUAAUGUUAUUUAUGCAAAUUGGCAUAAUAUGRCAAAACUUUAAAAAUUAUCUCCUCCAAAGGCACAAUUCCAUUAACCAUGAAACUUCCCAAGUAGCACCUASAAUAGGGUCUCUUCAAACGAUGUUCAGGAAAAGUUGUUUGGUUUUUGCCUGAUCAAGUUAUAUUCAUUUUUAUGCAAAGCUAGCUUGUUAGCAUUAACAAAAAUGACAGUCAUUUAUGUAUGUUAACACAUAUCAACAUCAAACUCAUGUCAAGUAUCCAAUUAUUUUUUCUGAGCAAGUAUUCAAAGUUUCAAAUCAACCAAACUAUAGGGGGCGCCAGAAAUGCAUUAUGUUUAUAUCUCUUAAGCAGUAGUACCAACUGACAUGAACUUUAUUACACUUACUUAAGAGCACAAACUGAGUGGGUUUGUAGAAUAUGGUAAUGAUUGGUUAAAAGUGGACAGGGCUUGUACAUAACAGGCUUUAAAAAAUAUUAAAAAUCAUACAUUUGACCUACAGAGCUAGUAUUCACAGCAUAAAGUAUGUGAUAUAUAA